ensembl:lncRNA
GGAUAGAGGGUGGAGGAGAGGGGAUAGAGGGUGGAGGAAGGGGAAGAGGGGGUGGAGGAGAGGGGAUAGAGGGUGGAGGAAGGGGAUAGAGGGUGGAGGACGGGGAUAGAGGAUGCUUGUUCCAGAGACCUGCUCCACUGCCAACUGGGACACAUUACAGCGUUACUGGAGAGAAAGUGUGUGAGCGUGUGUUUAUGUUUUAGUGGUUCAGUAGGAUUUAAUCAGGUUGUGUCCUCUCUCCCUCUCCCUCUCCCUCUCCCUC